UUAUUUUAUUAAUAUUAGGUUUUAUUAUCAAAUUGGAUUAUUAUUCAUUAAUAUUAGGUUUUAUUAUCAAAUUGGAUUAUUAUUCAUUAAUAUUAGGUUUUUUUUAUUAUCAAAUUGGAUUAUUAUUCAUUAAUAUUAGGUUUUAUUAUCAAAUUGGAUUAUUCUUCAUUAAAUUGGAUUAUUAUCAAAUUGGAUUAUUAUUCAUCACCAUGUUUUAUAUUAGGAUUUUUUUUUUAUCAAAUUGGAUUAUUAUUCAUUAAUAUUAGGUUUUUUUUAAUUAUCAAAUUUGUAACAUCCCACAUCGCCCAGGGGAGUGAUCCUUAAAUGUAUAUUCUCAUCCCUACCUAGCACGAGGCCUUUUGGGAGCUCACUGGCUUCGGGUUCCGUCGGAACUCCGAAGUUAAGCGAGAAGGGGGCUAGAGCACUCCCAUGAUGGGUGACCCACUGGGAAGUUGCUCGUGAGUUCCCAGAAACAAAACCGUGAGGGCGUGGUCGGGGCCCAAAGCGGACAAUAUCGUGUUACGGUGGUGGAGCGGGCCCGGGAAGUGAUCUGCCCCGGGCCGGGAUGUGACAAAUUGGUAUCAGAGCCUAACCCUGGCCGUGGUGUGCCGACGAGGACGUCGAGCCCCUAAGGGGGGUGGAUUGUAACAUCCCACAUCGCCCAGGGGAGUGAUCCUUAAAUGUAUAUUCUCAUCCCUACCUAGCACGAGGCCUUUUGGGAGCUCACUGGCUUCGGGUUCCGUCGGAACUCCGAAGUUAAGCGAGAAGGGGGCUAGAGCACUCCCAUGAUGGGUGACCCACUGGGAAGUUGCUCGUGAGUUCCCAGAAACAAAACCGUGAGGGCGUGGUCGGGGCCCAAAGCGGACAAUAUCGUGCUACGGUGGUGGAGCGGGCCCGGGAAGUGAUCCGCCCCGGGCCGGGAUGUGACAAAAUUGGAUUAUUAUUCAUUAAUAUUGGGUUUUAUUAUCAAAUUGGAUUAUUCAUUAAAUUGGAUUAUUAUCAAAUUGGAUUAUUAUUCAUCACCAUGUUUUGUCACAGCCCGUCCCGAGAUUUUCAUAUCGGGGACGUGAAUUGACGGAUUUACCCUUGACGUUACUAAGGUAUGUGUGUGUAACGUUAUUUGGUUUAAAUUAUUAUAAGUUUUGGGGAUAGAGAAAAUUGGGUUACAUUUUGUUUGUAUGGUUAGGAUGAAAAUGGAUGGUGUGGAUUAGAUUGGACCACACACAGGACCUCUCUCCCUUUCUCCUUCCCCGUGUCUUCUCUGUCUCUCUCCCUCACGACCCUCUAUCACUCUCUCUCACCCAAAACGUACGGCCUCACCCAAAACCACCCAAAAACGCAGUGGAUCGAAGCAACCAAGGUAAGAAUCUUCAUCCUUGAGAUGUUUUGAGUUGAUUGGUACUAGUUUUAGGAAGUGAAACCCUCGGAAUCACGUGAAACCCGAACCUCCAUUUUUGGUCACUGUUCAUGCAAACGUAAAAUGCUGAUUUUCAGGAAAUUCUAAGCUUGUAGUGAGCUUAGUGAGGUCCCAAGGAAGCUCGGAGUGCUUCGUUUGAAGGUUUUGGACGUCAGGAUCACGUGGUUCAACUUUGGCCGGUUUUGCUUGAAUUGUUCCGGUGAGAUUUAGUUGUUUUUGAAGCUUAAAAGUAGUUUAUCGUGAUUCUACAUGUUUGGGGCUUCAAUUUGGUAUAAAAUACGAAGAAAAUGGUUGAGAAACGAAGGAGAACAAGGAGUUCAAAGUUUGGCCGGAAACCGGCCGCCGGAAAAACCAGUCCGGCGAGUCGAGGUUGAAGAUGGUGCGCGUGGGGGCGCGUGUCCCCGUGCCUGUCAUGGCGUGUGGGGGCGCGUGGGACCGCCAAAAUUUUUUCUAAAAAUUACUCGACGUCCGUGACGUCGAGUAGGUCGAUGUGGUAUAUUCAUAUACCCAAAUUGAGCAUCGUAUGAAAAGUUAUUUCGAAUUAUUGGUUAUGUGUUUAAAUUAACGUUUUUAUAGUUGUUUCGCAUAUAGGUGAAACUUAUCCCGAGGACGAGCGCAUCCAGGGAUGUCACGGGGGUUACGACCCAUCGACUUAUCAGUGAGUGGGCAGUUUUGUUUUCGUAUUACCUAUAUACAACUGUUUUUCCCAGAAAAUACGUUUUUAUGAAAGUUAUGAAUUAAAUUGCCAUGCAUGCAAUUGUUGAGAUAAUUAGUUUGAUAAUUGAUGCAUAUAUAUAUGUUAAUUGACGCAGUGAACGCACAAGUGAGUUUUUAUAUCAUUCAGAUGAGUUAUUUUAUAUGAAUUGCAUUGAAAGCUCAGAACCUGCACCUAGGUGUUAGUGCUUAUAUUGUUAUUCACCACACCGCACGCUCGUCUUGGAUCCAAGUAGGUGGAUGUCGUACAGACCAUGUGAGGGUUCCGACAUGCUAGUCGUAUAGAUCACUAGAUGUGAUUCCGACUAGUGGGUGACCUUAGUUAUGCGCCCUGAUGAUUGAUGAGAGAAGCACUAGAGCGUAUUUAUACACCUUUCAUCGUACAGACUACUUUACGUAGUUCCGAGUGAUGUGCAGUGUAGUGCCGUACAGGUAAUAGUUGGUGACUACGGCAGGGCCGUAUAGGUCACUGUGGUGACUCCGGCUGAGUGGGAUGUUGAGCUUUAGAAUCAGCCGUACAUGACUAUUGUAGGGUCUCCGGUUGAUUUAUUAUUUCACCUGAUUGAUAUUGAUGCAUUUCUGAUUAUAUUUGGCAUGGCGUGGCACAUUAUUUCUGAGAUGUUAUGUUGAUGGAUAUGAGCUGAGUUUUGAUGAUAUAUGUAUAUAUACUAUUUUUCUGGGAAAGUAUACAGGUUUUACGGUGAGGGGUUAGAAAUGUUUUAAAUGAAAUGUUUUGGAAAAUCUUUGAUUUUACUGACCCACUCAUCUUUGUUUUGCGCCCCUCCAGGUUCUAGUUAGCGGUUGGUGGCUCUCGGGGUCUUUUUCGGCAUUCUGACAAACGUUCUGCAUGUAGGACUCACCUGCGGGUGAUGUAUUUUAUUUUGGUCCUACUUGACUGCACUUAGACCUAUGCUCUGAAUUUAUGUGGUUACCUUAUAACUUAUCCUUUUACACUAGUAGGUGGUUCUACUAGAGAUUGGUUUAAAUUCCUUCGUAUUCUGUUAUAUCUUGCUUCCGUGGCACUCUUGGUUACGUCACACUCACGUGACGCCCAGCACGCCUUGACCCUCUGGGUCGGGGUGUGUCAUGUUUUAUAUUAGGAUUAUUUUUUUUAUCAAAUUGGAUUAUUAUUCAUUAAUAUUAGGUUUUUUUAAUUAUCAAAUUGGAUUAUUAUUCAUUAAUAUUGGGUUUUAUUAUCAAAUUGGAUUAUUCUUCAUUAAAUUGGAUUAUUCAUUAAAUUGGAUUAUUAUCAAAUUGGAUUAUUAUCAAAUUGGAUUAUUCAUUAAAUUGGAUUAUUCAUUAAAUUGGAUUAUUAUCAAAUUGGAUUAUUAUUCAUCACCAUGUUUUAUAUUAGGAUUAUUUUUUUUAUCAAAUUGGAUUAUUAUUCAUUAAUAUUAGGUUUUAAUAUUCCAUAUUAUUUGUAUAAUUACUUAAAUUUUUACAAUCAUUUUCUUUACUUCGUAUUUAAUUCUUCUGUAGAAUACUUUAUUAUUUAGGUUCUCUUAUUUUAUAAAAAAAUAAUUGUCUAAUUUUCAUGAAAAAUAAAUAUAGGUACGUUUAAGAUGUCCAGUG
rnacentral:lncRNA from 1 species